rnacentral:rRNA from 1 species
UACAGAGGGUGCGAGCGUUGUCCGGAAUCACUGGGCGUAAAGGGCGCGUAGGCGGCCCGGUAAGGUUGCGGUGAAAGCCCGGGGCUCAACCCCGGGUCGGCCGUGGCAACUGCUGGGCUGGAGCACAGUAGAGGCGGGUGGAAUUCCGGGUGUAGCGGUGGAAUGCGUAGAGAUCCGGAAGAACACCGGUGGCGAAGGCGGCCCGCUGGGCUGUUGCUGACGCUGAGGCGCGACAGCGGUGGGGAGCAAACAGG